GUGUGGGAGCUGCUGCUCUGAGUAGGAGAGAUCUUGUGCGAAAGCUGACAUUCUAAAACAAACCCCCUUCCUGCAAAACAUUCUCACUGAAGUUGACAACAGUGGUAUUCUUUAUACAUUAACUUUGGCUCCAUUUCAGAGUAAAAUUCAUGAGCAAGAGUAACCAAUUAUUAAGGAAUAGGAAGACAAAGAAAUACGAUUCUGCAUUGUGCUGGGACUUAGUAAGAGUUGAACACACAUUAUUCACUGGAUAAAUAUGUGGAAGAAAGGAAGAGAGUAUUUAGCUCUGUUUUAAUUACUGUUAAUCUGCCGAGACUUUCCCAUUAGAAAUAUCACACUGGCAUUUUCUUGGGUACCAGCUGCAAGCCAAGCUCUUUAACAUUUGAUUUUGACGCACUUAUUCAUCCAAUUCCCUGCUUUCCUUCAUCUGUUCACUAGGCACCCAUGCAUUUUGGAAUAUAUUUCUGAUGAGACAAUCCCCCAAAAUUUCAGUUAAUUUCAGUUAGUUUCCCCUUUGUUCUCCUUUGCCCCCUGCCUCAAUCCCUAGGUCUCUCUCUCUCUCUCUCUCUCUCUCUCUCUCUCUCUCUCUCUGUGUGUGUGAAUAACUCUCAGUGAAUAUCUCUCUUUGAAGCACAUCAUGUUUCAGACAGGGAUAAUGGCCUUUGGUAUUCUGCUAGAACCACAUUAAAAACCACUGCGUUCCUCUGGCUAAGGAAGUUACAGUGAUGCUCUCUUCCACCUGACAGAGUGAUGAUAAUCUGGGGCUGUGCUGUUUACUAAACAAUCACUAUUCAUUGGGGUUUGUUAGACAUUUCAUUCCACGGCAAAAGGAAAAGGGAACUUUUGUCAAUAAUUAAGUUUCAACAUUGGCAGAGUGGGAUUCUUCAGGUGCCCACAUCUCAGGGGGGAGGAGGGGGCCUAAUGAAAGAGUCUCAUUCUUUCCAUGCUAUGUUUUGAGAAGGGAAUUAGCUCUCCAGAACACUCCCACAAGGCUAAUUUUUAACACAGGAAGCAUCCUUCAGUAGAAGUCAAAUCUCCCUAGGAUCCAGAGCUGAAAACAUUAUCAUUUCAAAAUUCUCUUUACAAGUUCUUUGUCUUCAGCUUCAUUAUUGUCUUGUGCCUGUACUUGACAGAAUUCUCACAGGCCUUGCAUUAUUUCAGAGAAACAUGAUGGCAAGAAAGUCCUUUGCUCCUUCUGCGACCUUGAACAGAAGGCUGUUCCAAGGGAAGCCAUUACAGGGCCAGUUUCCUAAUAUACUAAUAUCUCCAGUGUUCAGGAUGUGUGUGGUUUGUCUAUGUAGGCAGAAGGACACACACUCUUGUGCAUGAGGGAGCUAUCCGGAGGUUUGAUGGAACCACAAGUUUUGCAAAGGGACAAUAAAACUUGGGGGGGGGGGACUAAAGGGGGAUGGUAUACAAAUUUUUUUAAAAAAUGUUUAAACACAGCUAAUUUACAACCUUAGGGACGCGGGUGGCGCUGUGGGUUAAACCACAGAGCCUAGGACUUGCCGAUUGUCAGGUCGGCGGUUCGAAUCCCCGUGGCGGGGUGCGCUUCCGUUGCUCAGUCCCAGCGCCUGCCAACCUAGCAGUUCAAAAGCACCCCUGGGUGCAAGUAGAUAAAUAGGGACCGCUUACUAGCGGGAAGGUAAACGGCGUUUCCGUGUGCUGCGCUGGCUCGCCAGAUGCAGCUUGUCACGCUGGCCACGUGACCCGGAAGUGUCUUCGGACAGCGCUGGCCCCUGGCCUCUUAAGCGAGAUGGGCGCGCAACCCCAGAGUCGGACACGACUGGCCCGUAUGGGCAGGGGUACCUUUACCUUUACCUUUAAUUUACAACCAGGGACUGUUAGGCUGUGUGCACAUUAUACAUUUAAUUCUUUCCCUCAAAGAAUUAUGGGCAUUGCAGUUUGUUAAGGCUUGCUGGGGAUUACAACUGUGGGGGCUAAAGUACAGAGCCCAGAAUUCCUUGAGUAAAAGAAUGUGCUUUGAAGGUGCUUUUAAGGUAUAAUGUAUAAGCAGCCUUAGCUGGAAAUAGCUCAUACCAGUUAGCUCUUGUGUUCUUCAUUUGUGUUCUCCAAAAGCUAGAAAAAUAUCAGAUUUUGUAAUGGGUUUGCCAUGGCCUCCCAAACCUGAUAACUUGCACUGCCUCCAAGGGAAGCCCAGAUGAGGAAAAGAUUCACACUGCUCCACCCAGUGGAUAGACUUUCAGCAUCUCACAUUUUUCAAGCCUGAGGACAUGGAAAUUCUGCCUUCCUCAGACUCAGAGCCCUCAGUAGCAUCUCCUGCUUCUUUGCAGUUGCAGAACCAAAAAUAAACCCUUUUAAAAGAACAGACAGAUCCUCUAGGGCAGGCUUCCUCAAACUUGGCCGUCCAGAUGUUUUGAAACUACAGUUCCCAUCAUCCCUGACCACUGGUCCUGCUAGCUAGGGAUCAUGGGAGUUAUAGGCCAAAAACAUCUGGAGGGUUGAGUUUGAGGAAGCUCUAGGGAGACAGUGCCAGCAGCAUAACAGGCAGUAGCUUUAUGAUGCUUCAAUGCUUAGCUGAAGCAACAUUCUCAUGUUAUCUACAGUAGAGGGAGAGCUACAAGCAGCAGAGCUCACUGUGGAAAAAACCCAAACAAGAAUCCAAACAAGGGAGGCUAUUCCAUAACCACGGUGCCAACACUGAAAAGACCCUCUCUUUGGUAGCCACCCACCUUAAAGUGCUUCUAAAUCUGACUUUGUGGGAGAUUAGCAGUCCAACCCAACUAAAGUAGAUUCCUGCUAGUUAGCAUGAGAAAGUGCUAAGUCCACAGAACUCUAUUGGUGAUAGGCAGGUACACAGAACAUAGAAAUACAACUGGUAGAGUGGUCUCUGUGUGAUGUCAUUUCCCCUCCUUUCCUGGAGAAGAAGGAGCAUAUAGUACUUCCUGUUCCUCUCUUUCUUCCAGUGAUCAGCCAUGAGGGCAGCCGAGCCUUGUGCUUGUUCCAGCUUUAGGCACAUACUGUAAAUAUGAGUAUUUUGCCCACAUAGUUUUGACUAAUGCCAUCGCUGUGAACCAGCGCAAGAAUAUAAGCUGGCUGUAAUUACUUUGUGCGUAAGAGAGAAACAUGGUGGAAGAAAUCAGAAUGCGAGAAUGCCGUCCGGUGGUGUCAGAAAAAGGAAAGGAGGGAAACAAACACAAAGAUCCAUGGAAACAGAACAAUCAGUAAAGAUUUCAUGAAGGUGUCAGAAAAGGAGAUUCAGCUGGGUGGCUCGGAAACAAACUGUGAAGUGAAUAAAUUCAUGCAGGAAAGGGAAAGGGAAAGGAUCAUCUUUGCUAUAGUCUAUGAUUAUGUGCUGCCAAGACAUUUUGCUCAAUGUCUGGCCUUGAUGCUUUGUAAGUAACUGCUGCGUGUAUUCCUACAAUCUCUGGUGCGGUAUUGCAGUUGCUGGAUCAUUGAAAGUCAGGGGGAGAGCUGAGCUGCUAGCCUAAAAUCACAAUGAUAACGCUAACAGCCUAGGUAAUUGAGGUUAUUAUGGAUGCAUUAGACAUACAGACAAACAUACACAAUUAUACACAAUGCAAAGAUAAGCGUAUUCACAGCAGCCAGAGUCUUCUAGCUCCGUCAGGAGAGACGAGAGUUCCCACACCUCAAACACACACACACACAGCAGCAGCAGUGGCUUAGCACCAGGAUUCUCCAACCUGGUGCCCUCCAUAGGCCUUGGACUGCAGAUAUUCAUAUUGCACAGUUUGAAGCAAGUAGGUGCUAAAAAUCCUCAUGGAGUCCUCAUGGAGUAAAAAACAUUGUCCAGACCCAUGAAAAUAUUAUGCAAAGUUUGCAUGCAGAACUUUCUUUAAAAUAUAACCAAAAGGUAAAUGACACAUUCAA